UAUAGGGAUGCUGCCACUUGCCUACUGGGUUCUUAAAUGACGUGUCAUCUGAAUCAGACGAGGGGGAGGAGUGAGAUAAUAAAUAAAGAAACAAACAAGGCAAGUCCACCGAAACGCCACCAUCCACCUCCUCUGUUUCAAGCAUCGUCGGCGGUGAACGGUGGGAUCACUGGGGGGAAAGAACGCCACUGUUAUUUAAUGGCCCAUAAAUUGAGAGUUGGCUGAAUAACGGGGGUCCUUGGCGAGGAUUAUAGUCAUUCGCAGGAAGAGAGAAGGACGCCUUGUCCGUCGAGCAUCAUCCACAGCGAACCAUCAUUGUAUAAGGAGGCAACCAUCCAAACCGUUACAGUAAGGACUUUAGAAUAUAAUAGCCUACAGUGGAUUUUUAGGGGCAGCCUGGAAUACGACGACUGGUUGUGCUUUGGGGGGGACCAUUUUUGACGUUUGAUUCGUGAGGUUGGACGCCACGGAGAGAAGAUGUCGGGACAGACGCUGACGGACCGCAUUGCCGCGGCGCAAUACAGCUUGACGGGAUCGGAGGUUGCUCGAGCUGUCUGCAAAGCCACCACUCAUGAGCAGACAGCACCCAAGAAAAAACACCUGGAAUACCUGAUUGAGGCCACCAAGGAGACCAAUGUGAACAUCCCACAGAUCGCGGACACGUUGUUUGAGAGGGCCACCAAUGCCAGCUGGGUGGUGGUGUUCAAGGCCCUGAUCACUACGCAUCACAUGAUGGUUGCUGGCAAUGAGAGGUUCCUCCAGUUCCUUGCCUCCAGGAACACCCUCUUCAACCUCAGUAACUUUCUGGACAAAACUGGCUCCCAUGGCUACGACAUGUCCACGUUUAUUAGACGCUACAGCCGGUACCUCAACGAGAAGGCGUUCGCCUACAGGCAGAUGUCCUUUGACUUUGGCAGAGUGAAGAAGGGAGCUGAGGGGGUGAUGAGGACGAUGCCUGUAGAGAAGCUGUUGAAAGGAAUGCCCACUCUGCAGAGCCAGAUCGAUGCCCUGCUGGAGUUUGAUGUCCAUCCCAAUGAACUGACCAAUGGGGUGAUCAAUGCGUGCUUCCUCCUGAUGUUCAAAGACCUGAUCAAGUUAUAUGCCUGCUACAACGACGGGAUCAUUAAUCUAUUAGAGAAAUUUUUCCAGAUGAAGAGGGGACAGUGUAAAGAUGGGCUGGAGAUAUACAAGAGAUUCUUGACCCGGAUGACCAGAGUCUCUGAGGUCUUCAAAAUCGCUGAGACCAUCGGAAUUGACAAAAAUGAUAUCCCCGAGCUCACCCAGGCCCCUGAGAGUCUCUUGCAGUCCCUGGAGACUCACCUGAACACUCUGGAGGGGAAGAAGCCAGAGGAUGUUCACAGAGAGGAUGUGUCACCGACCAAGGAGUGUGAAGAAAAUGGCUCCCCGGCCGCAGCCGCCACGCCUACAAAGGCUCCAGCGGCCCCUGCAGCUGCUGCUGCUCCAGUUGCUCCUGCCCGCCCUGGACCACCCGCCAGACCCACGGUGGCACCCACCUUCAAGAGCUCCAACAAUGCUCUGCUAGACUUGGACCCAUUGUCAGCCUCCCCAUCAGCAGGUGGAGCAGCAGCCUCUAUCUCGUCAUGGGGAGACCUGCUUGGUGGCGGCUUAGAUACCCCCGCUGAUCCAACUAGCACCUCUGAGCCAGCCGCUGUUCCCGCCGAUGCUGCGGCCGCUCCGGCUGCCACGGCCACAGUGGCCCAUACGGAUGGCCCCGCCGCGCCCUCGGUGGACCCCGUGGUGGUGCUGCCCAUGCCCGCCACCACCGCCUCUGACAUGGAUCUGUUUGGAGAUGCGUUUGCACCCUCCCCGGGUGACGCCCCGCCCAGCAGGGCGCCUGCUGCUGAUGCAUGUGCCGGAUCUGACCCCUUCGCUCCAUCGGAGGGGAGUGUGAACAUGGCUCCAGAGAUGGACCUCUUUGCUAUGAAGUUCGAUAACACGCUGGCUGCCCCAGAAGCAGCCAGCCCCACCUCUAGUGCAGUGCCUAUCAUCGUCGCCCCCAUUGAGCCACCUGUUGCCACUCCCGUUCCCUCCACUACCACCACCACUGAGUCUGCAGCUGCCCCUGUCCCCAACUCUCGACCUCUUUGGUGAUCUCCCUACUAUCUCUCGCGGGCCCUCUCCUUUGCCUCCCGAGGCCAAUGCUGAUGAAGACCUCUUGUCUGGUGUGACUGAUGCAUUCUCUGCUAUGGCUCCAGCACCAGCAGUGGCUCCAACUCCAGCUCAAGCCCCGGAU